AGGCUAAAGAAAGAAUGAAUAAGCAUCUGCUCAACUAGCUACUCAGGUUGCUGUCAAAGAUUGUGCCCAACUAGGCUAAUCAAAUAACUGUUCCCAACAAGGAUCCUCAAGUUGCUGUCCGAAGAGGAGGCCUGGCCAGGACUAGAGCUACUGUAAGAAUGAGAGAGGACUCUAACUCCUCCUGAAUGUUUGCAAAGUCCACCUCCAGAAGGGCUGCUGCUCGGACUACUGUUGGAAAAAAAGAAGAGGGAAAUACCCUUGAAUGAGAUCAAAAAAAGUAUUAAAUAUAUAUUAAUAGCAUUAAAUGAAA